rnacentral:misc_RNA from 1 species
CCGUACAGCAGAGAUGCCUUUGGGCUGUCGCUGACCCUCAAAGGUCGUGCACGCCCGAGGGUGCUCUCUCUUACAUCCAUCUCACCCCUUUGUGCAUCACCGCGUGGGCCGGCCCCCUAUUGGGAUCGGUUCACGUUUUUACACAGACACCUUUCUUUUAAUGCAUGUGUAGAAUGUCUUCGUUUUUUUUGCGAUCACACGCAAUCAAUA